GCUCUAUUUACCCUUAUUGUCGGUUUCACUUGCCUAGCCUAGGUAUGCUGAGAUAAUCAUUAUGUGAGGUGAUCUAUCCAUUUUCAGAGUUCCCUCAUUAGUAUCCCUCAUUGUUAAUUGCUAUGCUUAAUUGGAUACUCUGUGUUGUGUUGUUUGCCUUAUUUUGACCCAAAUAAACCACCCCAUUACCAUAUUUUACACUAAUGCCAUAUUUAAUCAUUGACAUAACUUUGGAGGUUUAGUUCAAUUAAAAAGAUGAUGCCAUGUGACUGGAAAGUAUAUAUGUUCAGAUUAUAAUUUAAAUGGAUACGGUGAUUGGCAAUAGAUAAAUCAUAUUAGCCUUGCAUUGCAGAUUAUUUCCUUUUUGUGGUUGGCAUGAAUGGCUUUUGUACUCAAUGGUUUAAGCAGUUGCUCUUUGAAAUAUAAUUUUUCUAUGUAAGAUCUUACCGGCUGUUCUAUUAUUUAAAAUCAUUUGCCAUGUUUGUACUCUUGCUGAAGUUUGAAGAGUUUCCCGGGGGUGGCGAGGAGUACCGGCAUAUCGAGUCCCUGGUGUUUUCCUCUACGAGCUGGGGAGGGCGUGUGGUUCUCUCCUCGUCGGUUUCACUUCUCCCCUUCCUCCUCCAUGGUGCUCAAAAAUAUCACUGACUGCGUGAAUUUAAAAAAUUUGUAGUCUUAUACAAAUAGAAAGAAUAUAUGAUCUAACCUUAUUUCUUAAUCCAACGGUAUCCUACUGCAUUAGUGUACGAGCUGUUACACACAAACAUGGCUUGAAGUUUUCGGAUAAAUGGGACAAACAUAGGGUUGCAGAUUGUAAAUCCAAGUUUUUUUCGCAAAUCAAUUUGACACUAAUCCUUAGAAAAAAGAUAUUUCUGUUGCAUAGAUUGCGUUGUAUAGGUUGUUGACUUGAUUUACAUCACUCCAGUUUUACGAUGGCACAAAAAUUAAUUUAAUUCUGUUAAUUGCAACUGCAACUCUUUCUCAUCACACACAAUGUUAACCUUAUAGAGCUAAGGUGGUUAUAGUUAGAAACCUCUACAAUAUCAUGGAUUGAUUUAGGGUUUCAAAAUAUUGUGAACUGUAAAACGUCUUAUAUUAUAGGACAGUGGUAGUAGUUAACAUGAUUGUUUCAGAUUCUGCCAUGGAAGCAUUUUACCCCUUUUGCAACUUUCGUUACACUAAAUUAGUACUGAAUUGUAAUAUUUCUUCUCUGGGUAUUUUACGUUACAGGAUUGGAACGAAAAGAAGAAACUACAGCGUCACAUAACUGCAGCAAAGAAGGUACUGCAUGAGAUGUAACAGGGUCGUAUUAUGGAAGGUUAGCUCUGAAUUAAUGUUCAUCAUAUGUGCUCUGUACUAAUGAUUGUCCUCAGGGAUUAUUCCAUUCAUAUUGCUCUGAAUUAAUCGUACUCUCAUGCUGCCUCAUUACCUUAUUAUGUUACAACUUUGCUGAAAAAGCCAUUGUUGGUAUCUGGAGUACAAACUGUAGAAUUAGGAUCCUCUGACAUCUAUUUACUACUCUGAAUUUAUUAUUAUUCAAUGACCAUAUAAAUACACAUUUCCAAAUAAUAUAUAUUAGUUUGUCUAUUCAAUGGUGUCAUUUUCCAUUUUUAUAGGCAUUCAGACCUCCCUGUUAUUUUUGUUCUAAGGAUGCACUUCAGUAUUAUGUAACUAUGCUGAUUUUACUGUCAGCAUAAAUAAUAGACGAGUUAAUAUUUCUGCUACAUAACUUUACACCGUAACAAAUCUGGAGACUUCUAACUGGAAGACACAAUUUUCAUUUUUGAAGCGAAGAACAGAAUCCCUGCUGUUCCACGGAGUGAGUACAGUUAAGGUAAAAAAAGGAAAAAGGAAGUCUGGAGCUCUCUCGGCUGUACAACAGAGGGGUUACUUCACGUACUCAUCAGCAGUGAGGCUAAUAUCAUCUCCAAUCAAGUGAAAAAGCAAGGGCGCAGCCUUAGUUUUCUGUUGGAAGACUUCUAUUUCUCUCAUUCCAGAGGUGCUAGCCUGUGCAAGCAGUGACAGUGUACUUUUUAUUGAUCUGAAUCUUCAGGCUUCAUUUUGAAAUUUUGGUCCACGAACGCUUGAUCGCAAAAGUAACAGGUAUCAUGGUGAGGCCAGUUUCUGUUUUGCAUGUUGCCUUAUUUCUCUUCUAUCUGCAGUUUGCUUCCACGUUCUAUAUGUUUGCGAGGAAAUUUCAAAUCGUUUUGUAUGCUCAUCAAUUGGUGCAUCUAGAAUAUGUAUGUGAACCGUGUACCUUACGGAUUCCUUAAGGGCCUCAUGAUUGUUGGUGUUUUUUUCCAUAUGAAAACACCAAGGUUAUUAUCCUAACUAUCAUAGUUUGUACCAGCAGGAUUAUCAUAACAAUUAUGCAAUUAUUUUCCAGGUGAUUACAUAGUUAAAGGUAGUGACUUUUUUAGUCCUAUGUGAUUUCUUAUCAACUGAGCUAUCAAAUUGUGCAUUAUGUACUUGGUCACAACGUUGUAACCGGCACCCUCGCGCGUUUCCGAUCUCAUUGGAUACUUUUGUACUUUAGUUAGAAGCAUAAUUGUCAGAAGCAAGCAUAAUGGCCAUAUGAUGAAGCCGAUAAGUGUUUAGUAGAGACUCCAAUCAAUUCGAUCUCUCCAUGAUCUUUACCGCAUAUGAUAUUUUCCUUCUGGGUAUUUAACUUUGUCAAGUGCAUGCUAUGGUUCAGAGCAAAAUUCAGUUUCCAGUUAUAAUUCAGUGAUUUUCUUACCUUGUAUUUUAUUUUGCAUAAUUGUAGAAAUUGCGGUGGCCAUCCGCGGAUCUACAGUCCCUGGUUUGCUUUGUCGAGGUAUGAUCUUUCAUAAUGUGUUGUAUCUUGCAAUAUUAUUUGAUUUGUUCUUGCCAUCAUUUUUUAGUCUCUUGCAAUAUUAUUUGAUUUAUUUCUCUCAUAAACAGAGCACAAGUUGCCCCUUCUAAUUGAUCUAUCUUGUAUCUAUAUGGUGCAGUGGUGUGUUAGAAUAUGUACAGUCCCAUGUUUUGGUUUCUGCAUUACUUUGUUGUUCUCUAAGCUGUACAAAUAGUGAGACCAAAUUAUGUUCAGUAUAUUCCUUACAUGGUAGAUCCACGGAUGUCCACCCCAAUUUCUACAAUUUUUUAAUACAACAAACUACCAUUUUUUAAUCAUACACUACCUCCUCUGACAGAGAUGGUCGUCGUCCCAUCUUUGUGGUUUAGGAAUAUGCUCUUUUAUUUUGCAAGCAGAAAAUUGAUUAAGGUUUGUGUGAUCAAGUUUAUGUGUUGCCUGCUAUGCAGUGUCCUGGGCAAGAGGACCAAGUGUGGGCGGGUAGGUAUCGGCAAGGCGGGCUGUCAGCAUGGUGUUGGAGUUGGUCGGUAGUGGUGCACCUACGCCACGUAUGGAUCAAUACUCUAGGAGGUUCCAUUGAGGCCCAGUCUAUCCAGGUAGUUUGUUAUACUACUGACUUAGAUACACUUUAUUUAUCAAGAAUUUUUGUAUAUCAUAAUAUCAAAGGCAAAAGGGUCUGUCUAUGGAUGCACUUCUUAUGGUCAUGUACAUUUCAGAGCCACUAUUAUUCAUCAAGAACAUAAUUUAACUAAAGCUCGUUAAAAAAAUUGCCCAUAGAAAUAAUCACUUUGGAUUGGUAGUGUCAAAAGGAUGCAGAACAUUUGUAACAUUUCUUCCCAUAUUCAUGAGACUUUCACUCUGCUGUUGCAUUAGUCAAGUUUAAUUUCAUUACAUAUGUGUGCAUGUAUCAGUUUUCAUAUUUAAAAUGAUAUAUUUAAGAAUUAUCAGAAAUUUUGCCAAAUUUGCUGGGCACAAAACAGAGAUCUGGAAGCAGGACAAACGUCACUGAUAUUUUGUUGGUCAUUUUUGGUGUCGCAUCUCAAAUGGAAUGGCACUCAUGGAGGCAAUUGAACCAAGCUAUGGCAUCGUAGUUUUAUCUCUCUAUUGCCACUGUUGGCUUUUGCUCUCUUGUGUUCCUGCUCAUAUUAUUGAACUUAAUGUUAGCUAAUUAGCUUUUGUAAUUAUACGACCGUG
rnacentral:lncRNA from 1 species